GGUCCACGUGGACAGCUGUUCUCCUCGGCCAUGGCUGACUCUUCUUAGAGACCACCCCAUCCACUCUCCCCACAAGAUGGUUGUGACACCCAUGAGGGGUUGUACAUGGAAGCACUUUUUGCAAAUGACAAAGUUCUGCACAAUGCACACCUUGCUGUCACCAUUGGGGCCAUGUGGCCUUGGACACAGAUGCAUGGGCUUCAGGGUCUAGUUCCCCAUGGUGUCCCCUAAAGAGACAUCCACCACUCAGCCUCCCAUGAGGUUCGCUGGCACCGCCCUCCCCGCCAUAACUCUGUCUCCUUACUUCCAGCUUGCAGAAUCCUCCUGAGGGAGCUGGAGGAGACUCAGGACCUGACCAACCUUCUGGAAAGAUGAGAUUCCCCUUCUCUCCAUGUCGUCCUUUCUACCAGGGCCUCUGAGGCAGCCCCAGGGUCCAGUGUUGACCUGGGAGGGGGAGGUCCUGGGAAGAGGCGGGAGUGGACUGAAGCCCUGGGCAGGCACAGACAGAGCUCUGUGAAGCCAGCAGUGGCGGAGGUGGAGGAGCUGUGGGCACCAGGUGCCCAGCCCUCCCGACCUCCCAACCCCACCUGCCCCUGGCUGCAGCUUGUGCCUUGUGCAGCCACCUGAGAAAGCUCACUGGGGAGGGUGGCUCCCAUCUGCCCUUAGGUGGAGAGCCCUGGGUGAUAUGUACAAACCAGCUCCUGCUAAGGCCCACCAGCCGCAUAGGAAAUGCAUGCAAGAUCCAUCUCCUGACAGCUUGUCCCCAAGGACUCCCCCAGUUCCUCUGGCCUCCAACCUGUCACCAGACACAAUGACCUUCUCAGAGCCUUUUGGACCACGCUCAACCCUGAGUGCCUCCAGGCCUCCAGAGCCCUUGCUUCCCCUAAAAUGCCCUGCAGUCCGGCCACAUAUGCUUUUCCUUCUUCACCACAGCCCCAUGUUCCCGUGGCCUCCUCUCCACCUCCACCCGAACACAGCCUGGCUGGACUUCAGUGUGGCUCCACAAUACGCCCUGUCCCCCAGAGCUCCCCUCUACACAACCAGGGGCCACCUUCUCCAACCAGGGUGAUCUCUGGCCUUGGGUGCUCCAGCGGUCCCAUCCGGGACCUCUCCCGCUGGAGGGAGGCUGCCACCACCUGGGGCCUCUCCACCUGCUCACAGGGCAAAUCCCAGCAACAGCAUCUUCCCAACCACCCCCCAGAGGCUUCCUUCUGGGGAGACCCCACACCCAGGCAGAUGGAGGCAGGUGGCCGCACAUUCUUCCAUCCCAACGUGCAGAAGCUGCUGGAGACUCAUCUCCAAGAGAGCAGUGAUGAAGAUGUGGCAGGAGAAAGAAUGGGGGUGGGCAGACUACCCGCAGAUGACAUCACUGGGGAAGGAGUGGGACAUCACGACUCUAAAUCCCUUCUGGAACGUGGCAAACCUACCACAGAAGCUGCCCCAUCCUCAGCAGGUCUCUGACGCCAUGGCCAUGUGGGACCACUUAGAGCAGAAAUGCAGCCAUCUCUUCUGGGAUCUCCCCUCUUUCAAUAGCGAGUCCCUGGUGACCAUGGCCUGGGUUUCUAGGAACAUUUCCUCACAGAAUGAGCACUCUGUACCAUCGGAUAAAGCCUCCACUUCCCUUCCAGGUGAAACUGAGGUUGAGACACCCUCACAGCUUUCCCAGGCACGGCCCCAGCCCCACCACGUGGCCCAGCCCCAACCUUUCACUCCAACCUGGCCCCAGUCCCAGCCCCCGCCUCUAGCUGGGAUCCAGACACAGUGGGGCAAAUCUCAACCCCUGUCCCAACCUCUUCUCCACCCCAGAUUAGGGUCUGUGGAGCAUCUUGCCCUACAUCCCAGAAGAGGGCACAGUCUGUCAUCCCCACUGGAAAAAAGUAUCUUGAGUGGCCCUUGCAGAAAUGACCAAAGUGGAAGAGGGUUUUGCCCUCUCUCCUCAAAAAGUCUCAGGCUGUCCUGAGCCAGCCCACUUCCCACCUUCCCCAGGAGAGGCCAGCCUCCCUGAACCCUAAGUCAGCCCCCAUCCUUCCCGGGAUUGCCACCAGCCCUGAGCUCCCAGAGCACCGGUG
rnacentral:lncRNA from 1 species